rnacentral:rRNA from 1 species
AUACGGAGGGUGCAAGCGUUAUCCGGAUUUAUUGGGUUUAAAGGGUGCGCAGGCGGACCUGUCAGUCAGUGGUGAAAUCCCGGGGCUCAACCCCGGAACUGCCAUUGAUACUACAGGUCUUGAAUACGGUUGAAGUAGGCGGAAUGUAGCAUGUAGCGGUGAAAUGCAUAGAUAUGCUACAGAACACCGAUCGCGAAGGCAGCUUACUAAGCCGAUAUUGACGCUCAGGCACGAAAGCGUGGGUAGCGAACAGGAUUAGAUACCCUGGUAGUCC